rnacentral:sRNA from 1 species
GGCGGUGGCGGCCGUGGAGGCUGAGAGUCCAGAGCCAGACGUUCCGGCCGCUUCGGGCUGGCGGCUGGAGAGCGCCCGGGUCAUGUCGGCCCAGGGGGACUGCGAGUUCCUGGUGCAGCGAGCCCGGGAGUUGGUGCCGCAGGACCUGUGGGCAGCCAAGGCGUGGCUGAUCACGGCCCGCAGCCUCUACCCGGCCGACUUUAACAUCCAGUAUGAGAUGUAUACCAUUGAGCGGAAUGCAGAGCGGACCGCCACCGCCGGGAGGCUGCUGUACGACAUGUUUGUGAAUUUCCCAGACCAGCCGGUGGUGUGGAGAGAAAUCAGCAUUAUUACAUCAGCAUUAAGGAAUGAUUCACAGGACAAACAAACCCAAUUUUUAAGAAGUUGGCCUUGGGGAGGCACUAUUAGAGGCUGAAACUAUUGAAGAACAAGAAUCUCCAGUGAACUGCUUUAGAAAAUUAUUUG